rnacentral:rRNA from 1 species
AUGAACGCUAGCUACAGGCUUAACACAUGCAAGUCGAGGGGCAGCAUGAACUUAGCUUGCUAAGUUUGAUGGCGACCGGCGCACGGGUGAGUAACACGUAUCCAACCUGCCGAUGACUCGGGGAUAGCCUUUCGAAAGAAAGAUUAAUACCCGAUGGCAUAGUUCUUCCGCAUGGUAGAACUAUUAAAGAAUUUCGGUCAUCGAUGGGGAUGCGUUCCAUUAGGUUGUUGGCGGGGUAACGGCCCACCAAGCCUUCGAUGGAUAGGGGUUCUGAGAGGAAGGUCCCCCACAUUGGAACUGAGACACGGUCCAAACUCCUACGGGAGGCAGCAGUGAGGAAUAUUGGUCAAUGGACGAGAGUCUGAACCAGCCAAGUAGCGUGAAGGAUGACUGCCCUAUGGGUUGUAAACUUCUUUUAUACGGGAAUAAAGUGGGGCACGUGUGCCUUUUUGUAUGUACCGUAUGAAUAAGGAUCGGCUAACUCCGUGCCAGCAGCCGCGGUAAUACGGAGGAUCCGAGCGUUAUCCGGAUUUAUUGGGUUUAAAGGGAGCGUAGGCGGACGCUUAAGUCAGUUGUGAAAGUUUGCGGCUCAACCGUAAAAUUGCAGUUGAUACUGGGUGUCUUGAGUACAGUAGAGGCAGGCGGAAUUCGUGGUGUAGCGGUGAAAUGCUUAGAUAUCACGAAGAACUCCGAUUGCGAAGGCAGCCUGCUGGACUGUAACUGACGCUGAUGCUCGAAAGUGUGGGUAUCAAACAGGAUUAGAUACCCUGGUAGUCCACACAGUAAACGAUGAAUACUCGCUGUUUGCGAUAUACAGUAAGCGGCCAAGCGAAAGCGUUAAGUAUUCCACCUGGGGAGUACGCCGGCAACGGUGAAACUCAAAGGAAUUGACGGGGGCCCGCACAAGCGGUGGAGCAUGUGGUUUAAUUCGAAGCAACGCGAAGAACCUUACCAGGUCUUGACAUCCCGAUGCUAUUCCUAGAGAUAGGAAGUUUCUUCGGAACAUCGGUGACAGGUGGUGCAUGGUUGUCGUCAGCUCGUGUCGUGAGAUGUUGGGUUAAGUCCCGCAACGAGCGCAACCCUUAUCGAUAGUUACCAUCAGGUGAUGCUGGGGACUCUGUCGAGACUGCCGUCGUAAGAUGUGAGGAAGGUGGGGAUGACGUCAAAUCAGCACGGCCCUUACGUCCGGGGCUACACACGUGUUACAAUGGGGGGUACAGAAGGCAGCUACACGGCGACGUGAUGCUAAUCCCUAAAGCCUCUCUCAGUUCGGAUUGGAGUCUGCAACCCGACUCCAUGAAGCUGGAUUCGCUAGUAAUCGCGCAUCAGCCACGGCGCGGUGAAUACGUUCCCGGGCCUUGUACACACCGCCCGUCAAGCCAUGAAAGCCGGGGGUACCUGAAGUGCGUAACCGCAAGGAGCGCCCUAGGGUAAAACUGGUGAUUGGGGCU